rnacentral:rRNA from 1 species
UGCAAGUCGAGCGGCAGCACGGGUACUUGUACCUGGUGGCGAGCGGCGGACGGGUGAGUAAUGCCUAGGAAUCUGCCUGGUAGUGGGGGAUAACGCUCGGAAACGGACGCUAAUACCGCAUACGUCCUACGGGAGAAAGCAGGGGACCUUCGGGCCUUGCGCUAUCAGAUGAGCCUAGGUCGGAUUAGCUAGUUGGUGAGGUAAUGGCUCACCAAGGCGACGAUCCGUAACUGGUCUGAGAGGAUGAUCAGUCACACUGGAACUGAGACACGGUCCAGACUCCUACGGGAGGCAGCAGUGGGGAAUAUUGGACAAUGGGCGAAAGCCUGAUCCAGCCAUGCCGCGUGUGUGAAGAAGGUCUUCGGAUUGUAAAGCACUUUAAGUUGGGAGGAAGGGCAUUUACCUAAUACUUAA